rnacentral:piRNA from 1 species
CAGCUGUAUGGGCACCAAGAAGA